AGAUGGCCCUUGAGGUCCCCUCCACCUCUACAAUUCAGGUUUCAUGCCAUGAUAUGCUCAGGCAGAAAACAAUCCUCUCUGGCUGCGUUCCCUGGCAAAGCCAGAGAUUUAAACCAAGGACCUUCUGCAUGCAAAGCAGCUGCUCUUCUGCUGAGUGAUGGGAGUGUGGGGCUGUCAAGCUGCAGUUCCAGAUCCGCCAACGCUUCUCUUUUCCCAUUCCAACGUACAGUAGCGGUUCAGUGCUGGCAGAUACAACGGUACGCUUCCAGGAAAGUGCAGGUGUUUCCGCCUAUAAUCUCAGCACUGCUCUGAGCGACGCACCUGAAGACAAACGGCAGGGUCUCAACCUGACUCAGAUCGAAGUGACCGAGCAGGAGACGCCAACGACGCCUUCUCCCACCACAGCUAGCACCAGCUCAAAGACAACCACACCUAAGCCCCCCAAAGAGAAAACGUUCACCAUCACUUACCACAUCACAAUGAAUUUUACUGAGGACUUGUUGGAUUCGUCCUCCGAAGCAUACCAGAACCUGACUGGGAAUAUCGGGAAGAUGUAUGAGGAAGUUUUCAACUGCUCGGGAUGCCCUGAUGAGGGGAAAUAUAUGGGAUACACGGUGAAUUCUUUCAGGUACGGAAGGGGGAUUAAAUGAGGGCACCCACCUGAGCUAGGUGGGUCGUGGGUCCAGCUGAGUAUAGGGCAGCUUGCUGUGUCUCUCUGUGUUUCUGCUAAGCAUGUAGAUGUCUCCACUGCAGGGGGUGGAAUAGAUGGCCCUUGAGGUCCCCUCCACCUCUACAAUUCUGGUUUCAUGCCAAUUGAUGGUCGGGCAGAAAACAAUCCUCUCUGGCUGCGUUCCCUGGCAAAGCCAGAGAUUUAAACCAAGGACCUUCUGCAUGCAAAGCAGCUGCUCUUCUGCUGAGUGAUGGGAGUGUGGGGCUGUCAAGCUGCAGUUCCAGAUCCGCCAACGCUUCUCUUUUCCCUUUCCAACGUACAGUAGCGGUUCAGUGCUGGCAGAUACAACGGUACGCUUCCAGGAAAGUGCAGGUGUUUCCGCCUAUAAUCUCAGCACUGCUCUGAGCGACGCACCUGAAGACAAACGGCAGGGUCUCAACCUGACUCAGAUCGAAGUGACCGAGCAGGAGACGCCAACGACGCCUUCUCCCACCACAGCUAGCACCAGCUCAAAGACAACCACACCUAAGCCCCCCAAAGAGAAAACGUUCACCAUCACUUACCACAUCACAAUGAAUUUUACUGAGGACUUGUUGGAUUCGUCCUCCGAAGCAUACCAGAACCUGACUGGGAAUAUCGGGAAGAUGUAUGAGGAAGUUUUCAACUGC